AGAUUGUAUGGCAAAGCG
rnacentral:tRNA from 1 species